AGGGUUUGAUCAUGGCUCAGAACGUACGCUGGCGGCACGCCUAACACAUGCAAGUCGAACGAAGUAGCAAUACUUAGUGGCAGACGGGUGAGUAACAUGUAGGUAUCUGCCCUUUGGCCUGGAAUAACACGAGGAAACUUGUGCUAAUACCGGAUAAGUCUUUACGGAGAAAGCUUUAUGCACCAUUGGAUGAGCCUGCACUUGAUUAGUUUGUUGGUGGGGUAAUGGCCUACCAAGACUGUGAUCAAUAGCUGAUUUGAGAGGAUGAUCAGCCACAUUGGGACUGAGACACGGCCCAAACUCCUACGGGAGGCAGCAGUGGGGAAUCUUGCACAAUGGAGGAAACUCUGAUGCAGCGAUGCCGCGUGAGUGAAGAAGGCCUUUGGGUUGUAAAGCUCUUUCGUCGGGGAAGAAAAUGACUGUACCCGAAUAAGAAGGUCCGGCUAACUUCGUGCCAGCAGCCGCGGUAAUACGAAGGGACCUAGCGUAGUUCGGAAUUACUGGGCCUAAAGAGUUCGUAGGUGGUUGAAAAAGUUGGUGGUGAAAUCCCAGAGCUUAACUCUGGAACUGCCAUCAAAACUUUUCAGCUAGAGUAUGAUAGAGGAAAGCAGAAUUUCUAGUGUAGAGGUGAAAUUCGUAGAUAUUAGAAAGAAUACCAAUUGCGAAGGCAGCUUUCUGGAUCAUUACUGACACUGAGGAACGAAAGCAUGGGUAGCGAAGAGGAUUAGAUACCCUCGUAGUCCAUGCCGUAAACGAUGUGUGUUAGACGUUGGAAAUUUAUUUUCAGUGUCGCAGCGAAAGCGAUAAACACACCGCCUGGGGAGUACGACCGCAAGGUUAAAACUCAAAUGAAUUGACGGGACCCGCACAAGUAGUGGAGCA
rnacentral:rRNA from 1 species